GAUGAACGCUGGCGGCGUGCUUAACACAUGCCAGUCGAACGGUGAAGGCGGAGCUUGCUCUGCUGGAUCAGUGGCGAACGGGUGAGUAACACGUGAGCAAUCUGCCCCUGACUCUGGGAUAAGCGCUGGAAACGGCGUCUAAUACUGGAUACGAGCUGCGAAGGCAUCUUCAGCAGCUGGAAAGAACUUCGGUCAGGGAUGAGCUCGCGGCCUAUCAGCUUGUUGGUGAGGUAACGGCUCACCAAGGCGUCGACGGGUAGCCGGCCUGAGAGGGUGACCGGCCACACUGGGACUGAGACACGGCCCAGACUCCUACGGGAGGCAGCAGUGGGGAAUAUUGCACAAUGGGCGAAAGCCUGAUGCAGCAACGCCGCGUGAGGGACGACGGCCUUCGGGUUGUAAACCUCUUUUAGCAGGGAAGAAGCGAAAGUGACGGUACCUGCAGAAAAAGCGCCGGCUAACUACGU
rnacentral:rRNA from 1 species